rnacentral:rRNA from 1 species
UACGUAGGGCGCAAGCGUUGUCCGGAAUUAUUGGGCGUAAAGAGCUCGUAGGCGGUCUGUCGCGUCCGUUUGUGAAAAACUCGAGGCUCAACCUCGGGCUUGCAGUGGAUACGGGGCAGACUAGAGUGCGGUAGGGGGAGACUGGAAUUCCUGGUGUAGCGGUGGAAUGCGCAGAUAUCAGGAGGAACACCGGUGGCGAAGGCAGAUCUCUGGGCCGUAAACUGACGCUGGAGGAGCGAAAGCAUGGGGGAGCGAAACAGGA